rnacentral:rRNA from 1 species
UUCAGCGGCGGACGGGUGAGUAAUGCUUAGGAAUCUGCCUAUUAGUGGGGGACAACAUCUCGAAAGGGAUGCUAAUACCGCAUAUGUCCUACGGGAGAAAGCAGGGGAUCUUCGGACCUUGCGCUAAUAGAUGAGCCUAAGUCGGAUUAGCUAGUUGGUGGGGUAAAGGCCUACCAAGGCGACGAUCUGUAGCGGGUCUGAGAGGAUGAUCCGCCACACUGGGACUGAGACACGGCCCAGACUCCUACGGGAGGCAGCAGUGGGGAAUAUUGGACAAUGGGGGGAACCCUGAUCCAGCCAUGCCGCGUGUGUGAAGAAGGCCUUUUGGUUGUAAAGCACUUUAAGCGAGGAGGAGGAGCUCUUGGUUAAUACCCAAGAUGCUUGGACGUUACUCGCAGAAUAAGCACCGGCUAACUCUGUGCCAGCAGCCGCGGUAAUACAGAGGGUGCAAGCGUUAAUCGGAUUUACUGGGCGUAAAGCGCGCGUAGGUGGCCAAUUAAGUCAAAUGUGAAAUCCCCGAGCUUAACUUGGGAAUUGCAUUCGAUACUGGUUGGCUAGAGUAUGGGAGAGGAUGGUAGAAUUCCAGGUGUAGCGGUGAAAUGCGUAGAGAUCUGGAGGAAUACCGAUGGCGAAGGCAGCCAUCUGGCCUAAUACUGACACUGAGGUGCGAAAGCAUGGGGAGCAAACAGGAUUAGAUACC